rnacentral:rRNA from 1 species
UACGGAGGGUGCAAGCGUUAUCCGGAUUCACUGGGUUUAAAGGGUGCGUAGGCGGGUUGGUAAGUCCGUGGUGAAAUCCCCAAGCUUAACUUGGGAACUGCCGUGGAUACUAUCAAUCUUGAAUAUCGUGGAGGUAAGCGGAAUAUGUCAUGUAGCGGUGAAAUGCUUAGAUAUGACAUAGAACACCGAUAGCGAAGGCAGCUUGCUACACAGUUAUUGACACUGAGGCACGAAAGCGUGGGGAGCAAACAGG